UACGUAGGGUGCGAGCGUUAAUCGGAAUUACUGGGCGUAAAGCGUGCGCAGGCGGCUUCGCAAGUCAGACGUGAAAUCCCCGGGCUUAACCUGGGAAUGGCGUUUGAAACUACGGAGCUGGAGUAUGGCAGAGGGGGGUGGAAUUCCACGUGUAGCGGUGAAAUGCGUAGAUAUGUGGAGGAACACCGAUGGCGAAGGCAGCUCGCUGGGACGUAACUGACGCUGAGACGCGAAAGCGUGGGGAGCAAACAGG
rnacentral:rRNA from 1 species